UGCGGUGGGUACGGGCAGACUAGAGUGAUGUAGGGGAGACUGGAAUUCCUGGUGUAGCGGUGAAAUGCGCAGAUAUCAGGAGGAACACCGAUGGCGAAGGCAGGUCUCUGUGCAUUAACUGACGCUGAGGAGCGAAAGCAUGGGGAGCGAACAGGAUUAGAUACCCUGGUAGUCCAUGCCGUAAACGUUGGGCACUAGGUGUUGGGGACAUUCCACGUUUUCCGCGCCGUAGCUAACGCAUUAAGUGCCCCGCCUGGGGAGUACGGCCGCAAGGCUAAAACUCAAAGGAAUUGACGGGGGCCCGCACAAGCGGCGGAGCAUGCGGAUUAAUUCGAUGCAACGCGAAGAACCUUACCAAGGCUUGACAUGGACCGGACCGGGCUGGAAACAGUCCUUCCCCUUUGGGGCCGGUUCACAGGUGGUGCAUGGUUGUCGUCAGCUCGUGUCGUGAGAUGUUGGGUUAAGUCCCGCAACGAGCGCAACCCUCGUUCCAUGUUGCCAGCGCGUAAUGGCGGGGACUCAUGGGAGACUACCGGGGUCAACUCGGAGGAAGGUGGGGACGACGUCAAAUCAUCAUGCCCCUUAUGUCUUGGGCUUCACGCAUGCUACAAUGGCCGGUACAAA
rnacentral:rRNA from 1 species